AGAGUUUGAUCAUGGCUCAGAACGAACGCUGGCGGCAGGCUUAACACAUGCAAGUCGAGCGCCCCGCAAGGGGAGCGGCAGACGGGUGAGUAACGCGUGGGAAUUUACCCAGUGGUACGGAACAACCCAGGGAAACUUGGGCUAAUACCGUAUAAGUCCUUCGGGAGAAAGAUUUAUCGCCAUUGGAUGAGCCCGCGUCGGAUUAGCUAGUUGGUGGGGUAACGGCCUACCAAGGCGACGAUCCGUAGCUGGUCUGAGAGGAUGAUCAGCCACACUGGGACUGAGACACGGCCCAGACUCCUACGGGAGGCAGCAGUGGGGAAUAUUGGACAAUGGGCGCAAGCCUGAUCCAGCCAUGCCGCGUGAGUGAUGAAGGCCUUAGGGUUGUAAAGCUCUUUCGGCGGGGAAGAUAAUGACGGUACCCGCAGAAGAAGCCCCGGCUAACUUCGUGCCAGCCGCCGCGGUAAUAC
rnacentral:rRNA from 1 species